GUCUGUGUCUGAAUGUAUGUGUCAUUCUGAAUUUGUUUGUUUGGACCUAUUUAGGCAUGACUGCGUGGUGCCAUUAGCUUAAACAUAUGAGAUUCUAUCAGUUUGUCAGAAUACACAUGUAAGCCUGUAUCAACAUGCUCAUAACGAGUAAAUGCAAACGAAAGUAAAGAUAAGCGAGUUUCAAUAUUCAUUCAUCAACAAGUAUCAAUUUACCGUUUGUAUAAGUGACUCACCCUGUAUUAGUGUGUUUAAUGUCUGGCUACGCCAAUAUUUUUUUGUCUUAAUGUUGUGCGGGCCUGUACGACCGUAAAUGUGUCACUUAUUCACAAAAUAUAAAUUUAUAUUCAAAAAAG